GUGCUUACUUCAACAACACAUAUACUAAAAUUGGAAUGAUACAGAGAAGAUCAGCAUGGUCCCUUCACAAGGAUGACAUACAAAUUCAUGAAGUGUUCCACUAAAAA